CAAUGGAGAGUUUGAUCCUGGCUCAGGACGAACGCUGGCGGCGUGCCUCAAACAUGCAAGUCGAGCGUGGGUGGGCUGCCUCGCAAGAGGUGGCUCACUCUAGCGGCGAACGGGUGCGUAACACGUGGGAAACCAACCCUCCAGAUGGGGACAACCUCGGGAAACCGGGGCUAAUACCGAAUGCGCUCGCCGGGUCGCAUGGUCUGGCGAGGAAAGGGUCGUAAGAUCGCUGGAGGACGGUCCCGCGGCCUAUCAGCUUGUUGGCGGGGUAACGGCCCACCAAGGCGAUGACGGGUAGCUGGCCUGAGAGGGUGGUCAGCCACACUGGAACUGAGACACGGUCCAGACUCCUACGGGAGGCAGCAGUUGGGAAUCUUGGGCAAUGGGCGCAAGCCUGACCCAGCGACGCCGCGUGGGGGAUGAAGGCCUUCGGGUUGUAAACCCCUGUCAGGAGGGACGAAGCCGCAAGGUGACGGUACCUCCAGAGGAAGCCCCGGCUAACUACGUGCCAGCAGCCGCGGUAAGACGUAGGGGGCGAGCGUUGUCCGGAAUUACUGGGCGUAAAGCGCGUGCAGGCGGCCUGGUCAGUCCCGUGUGAAAGCCUACGGCUCAACUGUAGGAGGUCGCGGGAUACUGCCGGGCUCGAGGGCAGGAGAGGGAAGUAGAAUUCCCGGUGUAGCGGUGAAAUGCGUAGAUAUC
rnacentral:rRNA from 1 species